UACGAAGGGGGCGAGCGUUGCGCGGAAUCACUGGGCGUAAAGCGCACGUAGGCGGCUUGUUAAGUCAGGGGUGAAAUCCUGGAGCUCAACUCCAGAACUGCCUUUGAUACUGGGAGGCUCGAGUCCGGAAGAGGUGAGUGGAACUGCGAGUGUAGAGGUGAAAUUCGUAGAUAUUCGCAAGAACACCAGUGGCGAAGGCGGCUCACUGGUCCGGUACUGACGCUGAGGUGCGAAAGCGUGGGGAGCAAACAGG
rnacentral:rRNA from 1 species